AAGGAGCUUGCUCCUUUGACGUUAGCGGCGGACGGGUGAGUAACACGUGGGUAACCUACCUAUAAGACUGGGAUAACUUCGGGAAACCGGAGCUAAUACCGGAUAACAUUUGGAACCGCAUGGUUCUAAAGUGAAAGAUGGUUUUGCUAUCACUUAUAGAUGGACCCGCGCCGUAUUAGCUAGUUGGUAAGGUAACGGCUUACCAAGGCGACGAUACGUAGCCGACCUGAGAGGGUGAUCGGCCACACUGGAACUGAGACACGGUCCAGACUCCUACGGGAGGCAGCAGUAGGGAAUCUUCCGCAAUGGGCGAAAGCCUGACGGAGCAACGCCGCGUGAGUGAUGAAGGGUUUCGGCUCGUAAAACUCUGUUAUUAGGGAAGAACAAAUGUGUAAGUAACUGUGCACAUCUUGACGGUACCUAAUCAGAAAGCCACGGCUAACUACGUGCCAGCAGCCGCGGUAAUACGUAGGUGGCAAGCGUUAUCCGGAAUUAUUGGGCGUAAAGCGUGCGUAGGCGGUUUCUUAAGUCUGAUGUGAAAGCCCACGGCUCAACCGUGGAGGGUCAUUGGAAACUGGGAAACUUGAGUGCAGAAGAGGAAAGUGGAAUUCCAUGUGUAGCGGUGAAAUGCGCAGAGAUAUGGAGGAACACCAGUGGCGAAGGCGACUUUCUGGUCUGUAACUG
rnacentral:rRNA from 1 species